rnacentral:misc_RNA from 1 species
AAGUCGUAACAAGGUUUCCGUAGGUGAACCUGCGGAAGGAUCAUUAACACGUAUCCAAACGUUAGGCCACUGAUAAACACAGCAAUUCCUGGUAAAUCAUUGUCUGAACAAGCCUUUGAGUCAGGAACCUCUGUGCAGUGCGAGCUACACCCACUAUAGAAGCGCUAGUUCCAUCGGCAUUGUUUCCCCAAGCAGCCAGUGCGUGAAAGUGGCAACUGACUGUGCAAGGAUAACGCUUAACGAUUUUGCAGCCGCAACACGCGGGCAGAGCUUUGCCAAAGGGUCCCCAUGCCCCUUCCUUCUGCCGAUUUCACAUACAAAGCUCCAUUUUCAAUUAUGGAUGGGGUAAAACCGAACAACUGUUAACAAUGGAUAUCUUGGUUCUC